CCGUGAGAUGGUGACCUGAGCCGACACCAAGAGUCGGGACACUAAACUGACUGAGCCGCCCACGAGUCCCCCAGAAAAGCAGUAUUGCUAAGCACUGACUCUGUGCAGGCAAUUUCCACACUUCGAUGAUGGCAUGCAUGUGUGCACAGGUAUGCACGUGUGUGUGUGUGUGUGUGUGUGUGUAUGCGUGUGUGUGCACGUGGGCUUGCGUGGGAGGUGACGGGACGGGGACAGCUUCUCCCGGGACUUACUGUGAGGGCACAGGUCCAGCCUCCGCCUUGUGCCUGACUUGCUAGAGACGUCAUCGAAGUCGAUACGAAUUAAUUUGUUUUCUCUUUAAACAGAAACCUCACGAGCUGCUCGGUUCCCCUUCCCGAUUCAGAAGUGAGCAAAUUGCACACCGCUGAUUCCCGAUUCACAA